GGGAGGCAGCAGUGGGGAAUAUUGCACAAUGGGCGGAAGCCUGAUGCAGCGACGCCGCGUGAGGGAUGACGGCCUUCGGGUUGUAAACCUCUUUCGACAGGGACGAAGCGUGAGUGACGGUACCUGGAGAAGAAGCGCCGGCCAACUACGUGCCAGCAGCCGCGGUAAGACGUAGGGCGCGAGCGUUGUCCGGAUUUAUUGGGCGUAAAGAGCUCGUAGGCGGCUCGUUGCGUCGGCUGUGAAAACCCGCAGCUCAACUGUGGGCUUGCAGCUGAUACGGGCGGGCUGGGAUUCGGUAGGGGAGACUGGAAUUACUGGUGUAGCGGUGAAAUGCGCAGAUAUCAGGAGGAACACCGGUGGCGAAGGCGGGUCUCUGGGCCGAUAUCGACGCUGAGGAGCGAAAGCGUGGGGAGCGAACAGGAUUAGAUACCCCUGU
rnacentral:rRNA from 1 species